AGGUCUUAAGAGUGACCUGGCACACGAGCCGGUUUCCGGGAUAUGACCUAACAAAUGAGUCCUGGGUAUUUCUUACAAAUGUCUCUAACAAUCAUCAGAGGGGGAAACUCCCAAACCGAGGGGCAAUCAGAAUGGGAGAUUCCUGGGCUAGGAGGACUGCAAGUCUAGCUGCUGUCCUAGGGCUAAAAGACAGGGAGGCAGGCAGGGUCCUGGCCGACAGGCUCCGCCUCAAGGAAGCGCAAACUUUCGCGGCACCUGUGUCCAAGGGCGGAAACUCCGGGCUUAGGGAGCUCGAGAACUCAGCUGGCGCACCCCCACACUCCUCACCCUCCACCCCCACGGCCACAGGCGAGGCCGGAGAGCCAGUAACCCCGCCAGCAAUGUAAUCUUUGUGGGUCAGAGGUCACAACUGCUUUUACUGCAAGACCUGCAGCCUAAGCCAGACCUGCGGCCUCCUGCACCACCAGACUCCCCGCAGCUCUGGAAGCCUUGCUGAGACUGUCUGCGGGACUCCGAGUUAAAAACCGGCGAGGCAGACAAUCUCCAGGGAGAGCAUCCUGUGGACCCCGGGGUCCACCUCUGACUCAUCUGGAGUUCUCAGGGGUCAAAGGUUUCAGCGGCUGAACAUCUUUCAUUAAACAACUGAAAUAGUUCUCUGCGUCUGUGCUAAAACUGGAAACAAGACCCGACAGGGAAAAGCCCCUGCUGCCAAGCCUGACCAAUGAACCCAGCCCCAGGACCCAGAUAGCGGAAGGAGAGAACCAGCUACCGCAUUAUCCAUCUUUGUGAGACUGAGUCUCUCUCUGACCUGGAAUGGCCAAGUAGGCUAAGCUGGCUGACCAGGGAGCACCAGGGAUGGCCCAUCUCCACCUCCACGGCACCAAGACUCUAUUUAUGUAUCUGGCCUCUGUGAACAUGCGUGGUUGAGGACAGCCACCUCAGCACUCCACAGAAGUACCCACAGCACCACGGAGGGGGCCCAAACAUGCGCAGUCAGUACUGUUGUGUUGUGGGGCAGGUGGAUGAUACAGAAUGCCUUUUGCAAUUUAAAAAGUGAAAGGGUUUGCAUGGCUAAGAAAAUAAAAAGUAGGUUUUCGUCACUGAACAGAUUUGUGUUUUAUUUUGUAUUUAUGAACUAUCCACAAUGCAUUAGAGAUUAAUCAAUAUUUCACCAGAUAUUUUUAAAGUCAUAUUGU